AAAUUGAAUCAUUCUCACAUUACCUACAGGACAAAACUGAAUAUUAAGAUUUAUUUUCAGAAAAUGCAGUGUGAAUAUAAUGCUUAGUAGUUUUAGUUCCACUGGCAGAUUUAUUGUUGAGCUCCUAAUGAUUUGUCUGUAAUCAGACAGACUCAGAGUUCAGUCAGGAGGCCAUUAGCUGUGAUUGUAUCACACAGUUUUGAUGUGCACUCCUGAGGUGUAAACUUCACCUCGAUUCACUUUGACACAUUUCACAGGGGACUUUAACAGGCUGUGGGUUGCGGUGGUCUAAACGUCAUUGUUUGCUUUGACUGUGGUUGGUGCAGCCCCUACAGCGUUUAAUGGUUUAUAUGGUGUGCUGAGAAGAGGCUUGUUUUUGACAGAGUGACUGCUUUUUACGGUGAGAGUUUGUGUCCUAAUAGUACCUCAUUUCCUCUUCACACUAGGCUGGCCAAAACAGAAGCAAACUGAUGGCACGAUAAAUCCAAACACCUCAGAUUACACCUCUGCUGUCCACAUGUCCUACACUGGAGGAUUGUUCAUUUUGAGAUCCACAACCAAAAUUCGUAACAAGACGUUUAAGGCAAACACAUCUGUUGAAUCUGGGCACCUGCAGCGCUGGAGAAUGUUUCUGUCUACGGCCCAGAUGAGGAAAGUCUCCAAGCCACAACAUGACAUCCAUCUCAGGAUCUUUAAUGAGGAUGUCUACCACUGGAGACGCUGGAUUCAUGUGAGGCCCACAUUGGACAAGUCACAGAAGAUGAAAGCGGAAGAAGCCAGCGGUGAACCCAGGAUUGACCUCUCACAUGUGCAGAAUGAGGGAAAGCUUUGUUUCAGAUUGUCUUAAAAUAGGAACUAGUUCCUCAUUUUUCUCUUGGAGUAUUCAGAAUAUAACAGUCAACAGUUUCUGGUGGGAAACAAAUUUUGCCGGCCCUACGAAACCGAGAAUCGUCUCACGUCUUUGGUUGAUUUAAUACAGCGUUGAUUCGGCUCAUCACUUCACAUUUUGCUUUGAUUACACAACAAAAGGACAGAAAUAAGGUGUUAAAACAUGAAAGCACCCGAAUUUUGUGGCACAAAAAAGUAGGGUAGGAUGAGAGAGAGAAGAAAUGGCAGGUAAUGCAAUAUUCAUGUGCACAAGGCAGAUUUCCCUUUAGUUCUCAUGAUUAGAGGAGAGAAAUCUUCACCCGGCCCGUCUUCUCAGAGGAUGGAUGCAUUAAUGGCAAGUUGUUAUUUUUUGGUACUUUCAGAGAAGAGAGAAGAUGUGGCUUCAUCAAGGAGAUGCACUUCUCCUUCCCCUGCUCUUUGAUGUAGUGAAAAGACGUCCACGGUUAACCCUGAGUGUGCAGCGCCUGAGUAUUUCUCUUUCAAGCCUGAGAUGAUGAAAGUGAUAGUGCCGUGGUGGCGCUGUAUCAGGGGGAGUCCAGCUUCUCUCGAAAAAGAGACGUGACCCUGAUUGAAAUGAGGAACAUAUUUGAUCUUGAAAUGAAGUGCUUCCUUGCUUUGCACUAAUGCACUCAUCUUUGAUCAUCAAACGUAAAUGAUAUUACCACAUUGCCUUUAAAGCUUACUGAACGACACGCCAGCAUAUUGUCCGGAGAAUAUUGGAGUCAUUGCUGGAAGGAUGUUCAUUGUGUAGGAUAUUUCCAGAUGAGAUGAGCACCAGUGUAUUUGA
ensembl:lncRNA